rnacentral:tRNA from 1 species
GGAGACGUCGCAUAGUGGACUAGUGCAGCGGUCUUGAAAACCGCCAGGCGGUCACCCCGUCUCGUGGGUUCGAAUCCCACCGUCUCCG